AGUGAACGCUGGCGGUAGGCCUAACACAUGCAAGUCGAACGGCAGCACAGUAAGAGCUUGCUCUUACGGGUGGCGAGUGGCGGACGGGUGAGGAAUACAUCGGAAUCUACUUUUUCGUGGGGGAUAACGUAGGGAAACUUACGCUAAUACCGCAUACGACCUACGGGUGAAAGCAGGGGAUCUUCGGACCUUGCGCGAUUGAAUGAGCCGAUGUCGGAUUAGCUAGUUGGCGGGGUAAAGGCCCACCAAGGCGACGAUCCGUAGCUGGUCUGAGAGGAUGCUCAGCCACACUGAAACUGGGACCCGGUCCAGACUCCUCCGGGGGGCAGCAGUGGGGAAUAUUGGACAAUGGGCGAAAGCCUGAUCCCCCCAUCCCGCGUGGGUGAAGAGGGCCUUCGGUUUGUAAAGCCCUUUUGUGGGAAAAGAAAAGCAGCAGGUUAAUCCCCCGCUGUUCUGCCGGUACCAAGAAUAAGCACCGGCUAACUUCGUG
rnacentral:rRNA from 1 species